UUCUAUGGUAGGGCGGAGGGGGGACGCGCUUGCGCGUGCUGGUUUCUUUGUUUACCAGUCUGCUAACCCUCUUUCGUCCUACCACCAUC
rfam:Acinetobacter sp. RIFCSPHIGHO2_12_41_5 rifcsphigho2_12_sub10_scaffold_5698, whole genome shotgun sequence.